rnacentral:rRNA from 1 species
CCUACGGGAGGCAGCAGUGAGGAAUAUUGGUCAAUGGCCGGAAGCCUGAACCAGCCAUGCCGCGUGAAGGUCAGUGCCCUAUGGGCGUUAAACUUCUUUUGUGCGGGAGCAAUAAUGGUCACGUGUGGCCAGACGAGAGUACCGUACGAAUAAGCAUCGGCUAACUCCGUGCCAGCGGCCGCGGUAAUACGGGGGAUUCAAGCGUUUUCCGGAUUUUUUGGGUUUAAAGGGUGCUUAGGCUGUGAGGUAAGUCAGCGGUGAAAUGCCCCCGCUCAACGGGGUGAAGUGCCAUUGAUACUGUCGGGCUGGAAUGCGGAUGCCGUGGGAGGAAUGUGUGGUGUAGCGGUGAAAUGCAUAGAUAUCACACAGAACACCGAUUGCGAAGGCAUCUCACGAAUCCGCGAUUGACGCUGAUGCACGAAAGCGUGGGUAUCAAACAGGAUUAGAUACCCGGGUAGUC